rnacentral:rRNA from 1 species
AGAGUUUGAUCCUGGCUCAGGAUGAACGCUAGCGGCAGGCCCAAUACAUGCAAGGCGAACGGCAAGGGCAGUAGCAAUACGGCCCCCAGAGUGCCGCAAGGGUGCGCAACGCGUAUGCAACCUGCCCCGUGCAGGCGGACAGCCCCCCGAAAGGGGGAUUAACCCGCCAUGGCGCCAAAGGGUGGCAUCACCUUUUGGCUAAAUUACAAGAGGCACGGGAUGGGCAUGCGUCCGAUUAGCUAGUUGGCGGGGUAACGGCCCACCAAGGCAUUGAUCGGUAGGGGACCUGAGAGGGUGAUCCCCCACACUGGCACUGAGAUACGGGCCAGACUCCUACGGGAGGCAGCAGUAGGGAAUAUUGGACAAUGGGCGAGAGCCUGAUCCAGCCAUGCCGCGUGCAGGAAGAAGGCCUUCUGGGUUGUAAACUGCUUUUGCCGGGGGAUAAAAUACCCAUGCGUGGGGAAUUGAAGGUACCCGGUGAAUAAGCCACGGCUAACUACGUGCCAGCAGCCGCGGUAAUACGUAGGUGGCGAGCGUUGUCCGGAUUUAUUGGGUUUAAAGGGUGCGUAGGCGGCCCCGUUAGUCAGCGGUGAAAUACGGCAGCUUAACUGUCGAGGUGCCGUUGAUACUGCGGGGCUUGAGUGCGGUCGAGGAGGGCGGAAUUGACGGUGUAGCGGUGAAAUGCUUAGAUAUCGUCAAGAACACCGAUAGCGAAGGCAGCCCUCCAGGCCGCAACUGACGCUGAGGCACGAAAGUGCGGGGAUCAAACAGGAUUAGAUACCCUGGUAGUCCGCACAGUAAACGAUGGUCACUCGGUGUUGGGAAUUUACAUUCU